AUGAUGUACACCCCUGUACCCCUUGACAUCCAGUACCUCGCGUCUGCUCAACUUGAACACCUCCUCAGUACGUACAUCUCUGAAUUUUGCCCUUGCUUGAGAAGGCCGAGCAUUGUUUUGUUGUAGCUAUAAUUUGAGUUUAGAAGAUAUACUCCUCUCUUUUUGACGUCAAUUUUUUCAGUUGAUUUUGCUCGAGGAUGGUGCCCUUUAUGUGCAUGAACUGAUGGGUGUGUUCACAACGUAGAGCAGCGCUUCUCUGUCCAGUCUCAUGUCUUUCUCUUCAGCACGGAUCAGCGAGUACUACCGAGCAAAAAUGUCCUUAUCUUCGUUUGUUUCUUCCUUUUCCUUACUACUUUUGUGGCCCCAAAUCUCACGAUGGCUCUAUGCAUGUUCUUUUUGUUGACAUGAAUUUUACCAUGAAAAUUUCCUACUAAUCUACAAUGUUCUGCUAUCUAAAUUUGUAUGUAUAUUGUGAAUGAGUAGACACUGGUGCAGAAACCCGAUUGGAUGAAAAUACGGACAACAGAGAGGUGUAAUUAUUAAUUAUUUUCUUGCCUUAAAAGAUAUGCAACUAGCAGAG
rnacentral:lncRNA from 1 species